rnacentral:lncRNA from 1 species
AUGUCGCCCUCUGUGUUUCCAAGGCUCGCCACAGACUCGACUGGGAGAGUGUUUCCUGGUGUUUGGAAACCUCUCUUCUUAAAAUUCCCUUCCUGGGAUGGGCUUCCCUUCCCGGGACGGAGCUCCCUCCCCACCUCCUUUGUCCCCUUUUUCGUCUUUUAUAUUUUUUCCUACCUGUUUUUGAAGACAAUGGUCUGCUUUUCUGGUUGCCUGAUGUCCUCUACCAGCCUACAGAAGUUGUUUUGUGGAGUUUGCUCAGCGUUGAAAUGUUCUUUUGAGGAAUUUGUGAGGGAGAAAGUGGUCUUCCCAUCCUAUUCCUCCGCCAUCUUUACAGUUCCUCUCCAAGGUGGUUUUAGAAAAAGGCAGAGGAACCAGAGGUUAAAUUGCCAACAUCUGCUGGAUCAUAGAAAAAGCAAGAGAGUUCUGGAAAACAUCUAUUUCUGCUUUAUUGACUAUGUCAACGCCUUUGACUGUGUGGAUCACAAUAAACUGUGGAGAAUUCUGAAAGAAAUGGGAAUACCAUACCACCAGACCUGCCUCUUCAGAAAUCUGUAUGCAGGCCAGGAAACAACAGUAAGAACUGGACAUGGAAUAGACUGGUUCCAAAUAGGAAAAGGAGUACAUCAAGGCUGUAUAUUGUCAGCCUGCUUAUUUAACUUAUAUGCAGAGUACAACAUGAGAAACACUGGACUAGAAGAAGCACAAGCUGGAAUCAAGAUUGCUGGGAGAAAUAUCAAUAACCUCAGAUAUGCAGAUGACACCACCCUUAUGGCAGAAAGUGAAGAGGAACUAAAAAGCCUCUUGAUGAAAGUGAAAGAGGAGAGUGAAAAACUUGACUUAAAGCUCAACAUUCAGAAAAUGAAGAUCAUGGCAUCUGGUCCCAUCACUUCAUGGGAAAUAGAUGGGGAAACAGUGUCAGACUUUGUUUUUUUAGGCUCCAAAAUCACUGCAGAUGGUGACUGCUGCCAUGAAAUUAAAAGACACUUACUCUUUGGAAGAAAGUUUAUGAGCAACCUAGAUAGUAUAUUCAAAAGCAGAGACAUUACUUUUCCAACAAAGGUCCAUCUAGUCAAGGCUAUGGUUUUUCCAGUAGUCAUGUAUGGAUGUGAGAGUUGGACUGUGAAGAAGGCUGAGUGCUGA